AAUUGUAAGAAUUCUUAGCUCAUUCAGAAGUAACUUUUAUUGGUCACUUGCUUGUUUAAUAAUCAAAAGCAUAACGUCAGCACAAAAGCACAGAAAGCUACUCUGGUAAGACACAGAGUCUCUGCCACUCGAGAUUACAUAGAAGGUAUUAUAAUCCCAGGCAAACGAAAUUUCUUUCUGCAAACCUAGAACCUUUGACCCAUAUUUCCUCUGUCUGCUCUGCUCUUCCAAAGCGAAGAGGACAACUCACCCCGCUUCCUUGCAUCCACGUCCAUAUGUUCUGCCACCACUGUUUCUAAGAUGCUCUCAACCACGUAGAGUAAUUCUAACUUUUAAACAAACUUUCUUUGGCCUCUGCAGAAAGCAGGUUGGGUCUUGGAGAAAGAACGAUGAAGAGUAGUAACUCCUGUUACAACCACCGUUGCAAUACCAGUCUUUUUGCUGGAGAAAAUCAGCACAGGACAUCGCACUGGCCCGCUGUAUGGAGAAUACUGGCUGAGAGGAGCUGCAGAGCCAGAGGAUGCAUUGGUAAUUGUAAUAUUUCAACUUUGUCAACUUUGGUGACAGAGAAAGAAAAACCCAGGGAAACAUUCUACAAUCGUCUUUCUGAAACUGGAGAUGACACCGCAGUAGGUUUCAGCCUCAUGUCAUCUCCUGUCUCCUUGACAGGCCCUCCUUGGUUACCCGCCUGGAAGAAGUCUCCCCACCCCAUGUUGCUACGUAUCACAAGACUUUGUUUUCUUUCACUGUAAUUGUCACGCUUUCGACCGUUUUGUGUGUUUACUUUAUUUCCAAAUCUCCUCACCUGCACCAGAUUUAACAAAUCCUCUCACUGAGGCUGACCUGGCUCCUGCUGAUCUGAGUGCCCAGCAGCCAGCAGCCUGUGAACACCGUGUGUGUCACAUGUGUUGGAGGGGGCACUGAUUUGUCCCCAACAGAGUAGACACAUCAAGCUGUGGCCCAGCGUGCUCCUGUCUGGCCAGCACCUGUGGACUGACUGAGGGUCUCACUCACCAUGGUUUUGCCACACUGCACUGCUUCUGACAAAAGAACCCGCUUUAAGGGGGAAGGAGCAGAGCAGAGCACCCAACUGUCCACGUGACGUCUCUUUCAGGAUGUUUUAAAGGCAUCUCAUGCUCAGCACAUCCAAACCAAACUCAUGAUCUUCCCCCGUAACCCAAGGCUCUUCCGCCAUUCUCUGAGUGAAUGGUGCUGACAGCUCCUUGGUACCCAAACCAGAAACCUCAGUGCCAUCCUUGUCGCCUCCCCCUCUCUCAUCCUCAUACCUAAUCCAUUUCCAAGUCUUAUUAAUGUUCCCUUCUAAACAUUUCUUGAAUUCAUCCACUUCUCUCCGUUUCCUCCAUCCAUGCUGGGUGGAACUUUCAGGAUGACUCUUUGUUACGGUAUUAAACAGAGACUGCCAAGCUUCACCCUCUUCUUCCUCGUUGCUGCUGGCAGCGUGGACGUGAGCCAGGGAGGUGCAGAAGGUCUCUUGUAAUCAUGAGGCGACAAGGACAAACACCUCUGUGCAGGAGGAUGCAAAGUGGAAAGACGGAGUGAGCCUGGAUCCCUGAGAGGUCACUGCGCCGCCGUGCCGGGCCUGGACCACCCGCCUGGACUCGCAGAGCCCUC
rnacentral:lncRNA from 1 species